GACGAACGCUGGCGGCGUGCUUAACACAUGCAAGUCGAACGGAAAGGCCCUGCUUUUGUGGGGUGCUCGAGUGGCGAACGGGUGAGUAACACGUGAGUAACCUGCCCUUGACUUUGGGAUAACUUCAGGAAACUGGGGCUAAUACCGGAUAGGAGCUCCUGCUGCAUGGUGGGGGUUGGAAAGUUUCGGCGGUUGGGGAUGGACUCGCGGCUUAUCAGCUUGUUGGUGGGGUAGUGGCUUACCAAGGCUUUGACGGGUAGCCGGCCUGAGAGGGUGACCGGCCACAUUGGGACUGAGAUACGGCCCAGACUCCUACGGGAGGCAGCAGUGGGGAAUAUUGCACAAUGGGCGGAAGCCUGAUGCAGCAACGCCGCGUGCUGGAUGACGGCCUUCGGGUUGUAAACCGCUUUCGCCUGUGACGAAGCGUGAGUGACGGUAAUGGGUAAAGAGGCACCGGCUAACUACGUG
rnacentral:rRNA from 1 species